UACGUAGGGUGCGAGCGUUAAUCGGAAUUACUGGGCGUAAAGCGUGCGCAGGCGGUGAUGUAAGACAGGUGUGAAAUCCCCGGGCUUAACCUGGGAACUGCAUUUGUGACUGCAUCGCUGGAGUGCGGCAGAGGGGGGUGGAAUUCCGCGUGUAGCAGUGAAAUGCGUAGAGAUGCGGAGGAACACCGAUGGCGAAGGCAGCCCCCUGGGUCGACACUGACGCUCAGGCACGAAAGCGUGGGGAGCAAACAGG
rnacentral:rRNA from 1 species